rnacentral:rRNA from 1 species
UAGCGGAGGAAAAGAAACCAACAGGGAUUACCUCAGUAACGGCGAGUGAAGCGGUAACAGCUCAAAUUUGAAAUCUGGCUCUUUCAGGGUCCGAGUUGUAAUUUGUAGAAGAUGCUUCGGGUGUGGCUCCGGUCUAAGUUCCUUGGAACAGGACGUCAUAGAGGGUGAGAAUCCCGUAUGUGACUGGUUGCCUUCGCCCAUGUGAAGCUCUUUCGACGAGUCGAGUUGUUUGGGAAUGCAGCUCUAAAUGGGUGGUAAAUUUCAUCUAAAGCUAAAUAUUGGCCAGAGACCGAUAGCGCACAAGUAGAGUGAUCGAAAGAUGAAAAGCACUUUGGAAAGAGAGUUAAACAGUACGUGAAAUUGUUGAAAGGGAAGCGCUUGCAACCAGACUUGCACCCCGUCGAUCAUCCUCCGUUCUCGGGGGUGCACUCGGCGGGGUUCAGGCCAGCAUCGGUUUCGGUGGUGGGAUAAAGGCCUUGGGAACGUAGCUCCUCUCGGGGAGUGUUAUAGCCCUCGGUGCAAUGCCGCCUACCGGGACCGAGGACCGCGCUUCGGCUAGGAUGCUGGCGUAAUGGUUGUAAGCGACCCGUCUUGAAACACGGACCAAGGAGUCUAACAUCUAUGCGAGUGUUUGGGUGUUAAACCCAUACGCGUAAUGAAAGUGAACGGAGGUGAGAACCCUUUAGGGUGCAUCAUCGACCGAUCCUGAUGUCUUCGGAUGGAUUUGAGUAAGAGCAUAGCUGUUGGGACCCGAAAGAUGGUGAACUAUGCCUAAAUAGGGUGAAGCCAGAGGAUCCUCUGGGUGGAGGCUCGCAGCGGGUUCGGACGGGGCAAAUCGAUCGGCAGAGU